GGCCCAAAGUGGCUGAGUGGUGUAAGGCACUCUCCUUUACAAAUCAGUGACAUCUAGCUUCUGUUAGCCUGGGUUCGAAUCCCAGCUUUACCA